UACGUAGGGUGCGAGCGUUAAUCGGAAUUACUGGGCGUAAAGCGUGCGCGGGCGGCUUUGCAAGACAGAGGUGAAAUCCCCGGGCUCAACCUGGGAACUGCAUUUGUGACUGCAAGGCUAGAGUACGGCAGAGGGGGAUGGAAUUCCGCGUGUAGCAGUGAAAUGCGUAGAUAUGCGGAGGAACACCAAUGGCGAAGGCAAUCCCCUGGGCCUGUACUGACGCUCAUGCACGAAAGCGUGGGGAGCAAACAGG
rnacentral:rRNA from 1 species